rnacentral:rRNA from 1 species
GACGAACGCUGGCGGCGUGCCUAAUACAUGCAAGUAGGACGCAGUUGCGAACGGGUGAGUAACGCGUAGGUAACUGCCUAUUAGAGGGGGAUAACUAUUGGAAACGAUAGCUAAUACCGCAUACUAGUAGAUGGACCUGCGUUGUAUUAGCUAGUAGGUAGGGUAAUGGGCUACCUAGGCAACGAUACAUAGCCGACGUGAGAGGGUGAUCGGCCACACUGGGAAUGAGACACGGCACAGACUCCUACGGGAGGCAGCAGUAGGGAAUCUGCGGCAAUGGGGGGAACCCUGAACGAGCAACGCCGCGGGAGUGAAGAAGGGUUUCGGAUCGUAAAGGUCUGUUGUUAAGGAAGCGGUACUUAACCAGAAAGGGACGGCUAACUCCGUGCCAGCAGCCGCGGUAAUUC